AAAAAAAAAUUCUAAUAAGCUAGCAAUAGUUUGAACGACAAAUACAUUAAUAUAAAAAAAUCUAAUCUAGAUCUAUAUCUAGAUCUAGUCUCGUUUUGCUUCACAUUGUCAAUGUUCAGUAAACUCUUUUCUUAAGGAGAAACAAAUAAUGUCCAGAAACAAGACCAAAGAAUAUCUUUCAUCAGAAUGCAUCUUGACUUUGGUUCUACUUGCAGUCCUAGCAGUCUACAGUUUCAGUGUUUGCUUUAAUAUCCACAUCACUAGACAAGACAUCAGAAGAGCAGGGUUAAGUGUGCAGCUGGCUCUAGAUCCGUUAGAACCACUUCAGGGACUACUGAGUAAAUGGAUUUUUGAAACAGAGGAGGCACUCAAUACUAGUUCGUCAGCAUCUGAAAAACUCCAGUAUGCCCUAAGCGAUCUUUUAUCAACUGCAGAUUCCGUUUUUGUGGAGCUCAAAGCUGUUUUACAAUAAUAUUCCCUUUGCUCUGGUGUGAAUCUCUAUUCAUUUUUCAAAUACCUAAAACAAUAACAAUGUCCGUGAAGCUAUAAACUACAAUACCGUAGUAAAUUAGAAUGAACACACAUACUCAAAAACAAAUCUACAACUACACUAAAAGAAAAUUAAACACAAUUAUUCUAUAUUUUCAAAUAAAUCAUUUUUAAUUUGAAGCAUUAUCAUAUACAUUUCUUUAUUUUGAAGUAGAAAAAAAAAAGGUACGUAUAUUAACAGUUAUCAGUCAUUUAAAUUACAUUUAAUACUUAUGUCAAGAAAAAUGUUUUAGUUUUGUUUUGUUAGGAAGGGGUAUGUACAGGACCAUUGCCUAGACUUGAAUUAUACAGAAGAUUGAUACUUUUUUUUAAUUUGAAUGGACUCAGGGGCUUCUAACUAUAAAAAGUAAAACAAGAAAGACAAUCCAAAUAAAUCUAUUAGUGCAUGGGGGGGGGGGGGAGGGGUGUUAGUCAUGGGUACACUUACAAAGGUUAACAUUGCAAACCAGUAAGCACAUUAACAACAGAAAUUAAAUGUCAUUCACUUCAACAAGUUAUUUUAUGAUCGUGGCUCAUGUGACCGUUUGCUGUUCAAAUCCAGUCACUGUUGUAUCCUGCUACUAAACAAGAGGUCAGGGAGCAACAAAAACUAAUUCUUACAAUGCUAUUUCAAGGACUGUUAGCCAUUCAAUAAGGAUUUCUUUGUACUCCUCUUGCUACCAAAAAUGAAUUCAAAAAAUUAAGUGUAAAGAGUACUCGAUGUCCAGCACUGAGUUUCCUCAAGCAGUAAUUAUUUGAAGAACUAGCUAGUAUAAACAUCAAUACCCUUGCCCAUAUUUACAAAGCAUACAGCUGUUGACGGUAUGGCAGGUAAUGUCUAAACAGUAACAAAUUCUUCUAAUACAAAUGAUAAAGCAAAAAAAAAAAAAAAAAUGUUUUUAUUACUUAACAGAUCACGCACACUCACACACCAUCUAUACACACAAUUUAAAAGAAAGAAUGUGGAAAAAAAAUGCUAUGAAGAAAAGUAGAGGGAACAAAAUAGUUCUCAAUUUUAAAAAUAAAAAAAUUUUGUCAUGAAGUUAAUUUGAGGCCAAAAUGUACAAAAUGUUAAUAUUCUUUUUUUUUUAAAGUAGAAACUUUAUUUGCAAAAGUGUGUAUUUUUUAAAUACCAAAACAAACAGUAAGAAAGCAAAAACACAUUUGAACAAGAAUCAUUUGUUCCUAAAAAUGUACUGGUAACUAAAGAAACAAGAUCCAAUUAUCAUUGCUAGUCAAUAUCUAAAAUGCAUCAUGUUUUAAUGGACUACAGCUCAAUAGUAAUAAUACAAGGCACAACACAAUAUAAUAUCAAUAGUGUUAUGCCAAUAAAAAAAAGUGAGAUUCUAAAAAGUGAAACAGUAUCUGUGUUCAAACAAUCAAGUCUAGUAGACUUCUUAGAAACAGUAAAGUACAUGCCAUUAAUAAUUCAAGCAGUAAAAAAGAAAACAGGCUUUCCUUUCAUUGUGAUGCCAGACAAAAUGAAACCUUCAAUCUUUACCUACCUAUGUCAUUACUUCUCUCAGGAAGAGCAAGAUUUCUGAAAGCCUAUUUUAGAGCCAAUGAUCAAAGUCUAGCCUCCUAAAACGUGGGUAGCUCUACUGUGCACUGAACAGGGGUACUUGAGCAAUUUAGAAAUUUGAGGUAAAACCUCUUGCCAGGACUUCAAUUAGCCAAUUUGUGGAGCGACUAAGAUCAUUUGCAAAAAAAAUAAAGUGUCAUGAAAUUAGGUCCAACUUCUGGUAUCAGUUAAAGCACAUACAAAAUACUCAUAAUGCAAUUAUAUAUAUAUAUUUAUUUAUUUAUUUAUACGCUGUUAUAAAUAAGCUCUGCCAAAGAGGAGAAAAAAAAAAGGCAAAAUGGAAAUUGAUUAAAGUUGACAAAAUACUAAUAUGAAAAUAAAGAAACAUAAAGCAGGAUAUGUCUACUAGAUUAUAAUCACUACAGAUAUUGUAAGUGAAUGUUAAAAAAAAAGAUGUACAGACAUACAAUACUACUAUAUACAUACAAUAUUUUCAUUUUUGUCAAACUAAGUGUACUUACACUCUUAUCACUUGAUAACUUAUUGAUAGGCUUGGGGGAGAAAAGCAGAUAAAGGAAGUGUUUUUUUUUCAUUUGAAUGAUGACUUAAGUUUUAAAAAUUUGUUCAUUUAAAAAAACAAAGUACCUAAAAAAAUAUAAAUAUUGCAACUCCUAAUGUAAAAAAAUGUAUAUACUGAAAAUUUCUUUUUGUUCUAUCUACAAUAACAUUAUGAUAGAGUUCUUACUUUAGAUAAGUCUUUUUAUUUUACUACUAGUUAAUAAUCAUAUUCUGUUGUAAGAAUUCUCUUGUUUUCUUUAAAAUUAUAAUACAACAUCAUUGCAGUUGAAUCACUUGUUUUUAUAAUACUUACAAAAAAUGCUGUUUGUGUCCUUUUUUUUUUUAAUCAAUUUUGUUAUACAUCUUUUUUCAAAAGGUUUGUGUCUAUUAAAAUUUUCAGAAAAAUUUUAGCACAAAACUAUGGACACUGCAUUAACCAUUUUGAAAAAGAUACUUUUUUUUUUUAAAGACUAAGAAUAAUAUUAAAAAAAAAAAAGAAUGAACAAAAAAAAAACAACAACAUAAGGCUGCAUUCUGCAGGCAAUGAAUUUUUUAACAGAAGUUACUCAUUCUAAUUUUAUAAUUAGAUUAUCAUACAAUAUCUACAACUAUGAUUACAAUUUUGUAAAAGUAUGCCUAUGAGUUAAAAAAACAACAACUAAACUAGUAAGAAUUUUAAAAUAAUAUUUGUCAAAAUAGUGCACAUAAAAUAAUUACCAUAGGUUAAGUAAUGCAUAUUAAACCGAUUUUUUAAAUAAAUGGAAUCAAUAAUAUAAUUUAUUAUUUAAGUAAAAAAGGCAUGAUCAUGGAAUGAUACAUUAAGUCAAUCAAAAUAGUAUUGACCACUCAUUUCAAUUUGAUAUUUUUUACAGAGCCUCUUUGUAAAAUGUAUGUGAUAUAAUACUAUAAAAUAUGUGAAAUAAAUUUGGCCUCUUCUGA